rfam:Homo sapiens chromosome 1, GRCh38 reference primary assembly.
GCCGGGCAUGGUGGCGCAUGCCUGUAAUCCCAGCUACUGGGGAGGCUGAGGCAGGAGAAUUGCUUGAACCCGGGAGGCGGAGGUUGCAGUGAGCCGAGAUAGCGCCACUGCACUCCAGCCUGGGAGACAGAGCAAGACUGUCUCUA